CAGAGGGGGACAACAGUUGGAAACGACUGCUAAUACCGCAUAACACAUAGGUGUCGCAUGGCAUUUAUGUCAAAGAUUUAUCGCUGAAAGAUGGCCUCGCGUCUGAUUAGCUAGUUGGUGAGGUAACGGCUCACCAAGGCGACGAUCAGUAGCCGGACUGAGAGGUUGGCCGGCCACAUUGGGACUGAGAUACGGCCCAGACUCCUACGGGAGGCAGCAGUGGGGAAUAUUGGGCAAUGGGCGCAAGCCUGACCCAGCAACGCCGCGUGAAGGAAGAAGGCUUUCGGGUUGUAAACUUCUUUUGACAGGGAAGAGUAGAAGACGGUACCUGUCGAAUAAGCCACGGCUAACUACGUGCCAGCAGCCGCGGUAAUACGUAGGUGGCAAGCGUUGUCCGGAUUUACUGGGUGUAAAGGGCGUGUAGCCGGGUUGACAAGUCAGAUGUGAAAUCCUGCGGCUUAACCGCAGAACUGCAUUUGAAACUGUUGAUCUUGAGUACUGGAGAGGCAGACGGAAUUCCUAGUGUAGCGGUGAAAUGCGUAGAUAUUAGGAGGAACACCAGUGGCGAAGGCGGUCUGCUGGACAGCAACUGACGGUGAGGCGCGAAAGCGUGGGGAGCAAACAAGAUUAGAUACCCUGGUAGUCCACGCUGUAAACGAUGGAUAAAAGGUGUGCGGGGACUGACCCCCUGGGUGCAGCAGCUAACGCAAAUAAGUAUCCCACCUGGGGAGUACGAUCGCAAGGUUGAAACUCAAAGGAAUUGACGGGGGCCCGCACAAGCGGUGGGAUUAUGUGGUUUAAUUCGAUGCAACGCGAAGAACCUUACCAGGGCUUGACAUCCUACUAACGAAGUAGAGAUACAUUAGGUACCCUUCGGGGGAAGUAGAGACAGGUGGUGCAUGGUUGUCGUCAGCUCGUGUCGUGAGAUGUUGGGUUAAGUCCCGCAACGAGCGCAACCCUUAUUGUUAGUUGCUACGCAAGAGCACUCUAGCGAGACUGCCGUUGACAAAACGGAGGAAGGUGGGGACGACGUCAAAUCAUCAUGCCCCUUAUGUCCUGGGCUACACACGUAAUACAAUGGCGGCCAACAGAGGGAUGCAAAGCUGUGAAGUGGAGCGAACCCCUAAAAGCCGUCCCAGUUCAGAUUGCAGUCUGCAACUCGACUGCAUGAAGUCGGAAUCGCUAGUAAUCGCGGAUCAGCAUGCCGCGGUGAAUACGUUCCCGGGCCUUGUACUAAAGGCCCGUCA
rnacentral:rRNA from 1 species